rnacentral:rRNA from 2 species
GAAGCAGGAGCUUGCUCUUGUGGAUCAGUGGCGAACGGGUGAGUAACACGUGAGUAACCUGCCCCUGACUCUGGGAUAAGCGUUGGAAACGACGUCUAAUACUGGAUAUGACAACCGAUGGCAUCGUCUGGUUGUGGAAAGAUUUUUUGGUUGGGGAUGGACUCGCGGCCUAUCAGCUUGUUGGUGAGGUAAUGGCNCACCAAGGCGACGACGGGUAGCCGGCCUGAGAGGGUGACCGGCCACACUGGGACUGAGACACGGCCCAGACUCCUACGGGAGGCAGCAGUGGGGAAUAUUGCACAAUGGGCGCAAGCCUGAUGCAGCAACGCCGCGUGAGGGAUGACGGCCUUCGGGUUGUAAACCUCUUUUAGUAGGGAAGAAGCGUAAGUGACGGUACCUGCAGAAAAAGCACCGGCUAACUACGUGCCAGCAGCCGCGGUAAUACGUAGGGUGCAAGCGUUGUCCGGAAUUAUUGGGCGUAAAGAGCUCGUAGGCGGUUUGUCGCGUCUGCUGUGAAAACUGGAGGCUCAACCUCCAGCCUGCAGUGGGUACGGGCAGACUAGAGUGCGGUAGGGGAGAUUGGAAUUCCUGGUGUAGCGGNGGAAUGCGCAGAUAUCAGGAGGAACACCGAUGGCGAAGGCNGAUCUCUGGGCCGUAACUGACGCUGAGGAGCGAAAGCG